UACGUAGGGAGCAAGCGUUGUCCGGAAUUACUGGGUGUAAAGGGAGCGUAGGCGGAAUGGAAAGUUGAAUGUUAAAUCCAUCGGCUCAACCGGUGGCCGCGUUCAAAACUUCUGUUCUUGAGUGAAGUAGAGGCAGGCGGAAUUCCUAGUGUAGCGGUGAAAUGCGUAGAUAUUAGGAGGAACACCAGUGGCGAAGGCGGCCUGCUGGGCUUUAACUGACGCUGAGGCUCGAAAGCGUGAGGAGCAAACAGGAUUAGAUAUCCCGGUAGUCCCU
rnacentral:rRNA from 1 species